rnacentral:tRNA from 1 species
GGUUCCAUAGAGAAGUGGUUAGCACGUCUGCUUUACACGCAGAAGGUCCUGGGUUCGUGCCCCAGUGGAGCCA